UUACGGCCAUAUCACGAUGAAACACCGGUUCUCGUACGAUUAGCGAAGUUAAGCCUAACCAGUAAUUAGAUGUGUGUCCACUUGGGAAAACCAAGUGUUGUAAG